GGCACUGAAAGUGAGAGGACAGACAAUCCUUGUCCUAAAUUUAAUAUUAAAAUACUUUUGAAAAGAGUUAAAAGUAAAUAAAUUACGCAUAAUAAAAAUUUCCAACUGAACCAACCCAGAAACACCCCGUCCUCCUCUUCCUCUCUUUUCGACCCAACAGCCACCACCACCACCAACCCGACAACGGCAACAAACACCCAGGCCCCGAGGCCACCACCCUCCAUUCCUCCAUCUUUAACUUCAAAUCGUCCGGGCCAUGGACGCCGAGUCCACCUCCGAACCCUCCAUUCCUUAAUUACGGUGAUACUGAUGUCAUUUUUGUGGUGUUCCCAAUUGGGUUUCUCGAAUAUUUCUUUUCUUUUGAUGAUAUUAAGCAUUUGAAGAAAUGGGUUUAUUUGUGAUGAUUUUAUUCAUGUUUUCGGUACUUGACUUAUUUACUUAUAAUUUAUAAAUUACAGGGCUGGGUUUGUGAUUGUCUGUGUUAUAUAAUUUGUAUUUGGUCUGUUGGCUAAUUAGUUAUGUAUGGAACGCGGUAAUCGCACAAUUUUUGGCACGGCAUCGUUUCGUCUUCCCGGAGUCUCUCCGUACGGUCCACCCAAUGUCUACUGUAGACGCGCUCCAAUACCUCGAAUCUGCUCUCCAAUUCCUCAUACUCGCCAUUGCCUUCCACUCCAGCUUUGGGGGUUUUCAUCUCAUCUCGUAUAUGCUGCUUCCGGUCAGAGACAACUAUAUGUUGUCACCCCUACAAAGGCCUGUUAUCACUUUAGAAUGGUGUUUACACCACCUGACCUUUUUGGUUACAGCUUGGUUCUGGGCAUUCGCUUGCGUUUGUUUUCGUCUGAGGAUCGGAUUUGUGGAGUUCAGGAUGGGUUUGGUUCUUCUUGAUCUGCAGGUGGGUAAGUGAGACAAUAUUAAUGGCAUUGGUAGUGGACUAUACUGGCCUGAAAGUUUAUCACAGCUGUCAAUUAUGGAUUAGUUAAGAAUAGAGGAGACCCUAAACCAAGAAGUGAAGGAUUACAUUUAUGUAACCAACAACAUCUUAAUCAUUUUUAAACAUUUUGCCCUUAUCCCUCUUGGACCAACUAAACCUUUAUUCCUCUCAUCAUCAUCUAUUUGCCCUGUUGCAGUUCAUCAAUUAUUUAUAAAUUUGUCCUGAAUGUUUUAGUCUGAGCCAGCAAGCAUGUAUAACUAUUGGGUCCUGUAUUUCUGUAAGAGAAGUAAUGAGAAAAAUAUCCCUGAUUAUUUGAUCGGAAAUCUUGUUUCA